UCUCUUUUCACAGCUGGAGAGGCAUGGCUUUCUAGACAGAGAAAUAGGAAAAAACCAGUUGCUCCUGCUCCCCCUCCUCCACCGGCGUCAUCUCCUGUGAAUUCGGCACCUAUGGCUGGGAUAACUCCAGUGGAGGUCGCCG